rnacentral:rRNA from 1 species
UGGGGAAUAUUGGACAAUGGGCGAAAGCCUGAUCCAGCCAUGCCGCGUGUGUGAAGAAGGCCUUUUGGUUGUAAAGCACUUUAAGUGGGGAGGAAAAGCUUAUGGUUAAUACCCAUAAGCCCUGACGUUACCCACAGAAUAAGCACCGGCUAACUCUGUGCCAGCAGCCGCGGUAAUACAGAGGGUGCAAGCGUUAAUCGGAAUUACUGGGCGUAAAGCGCGCGUAGGUGGUUAUUUAAGUCAGAUGUGAAAGCCCCGGGCUUAACCUGGGAACUGCAUCUGAUACUGGAUAACUAGAGUAGGUGAGAGGGGAGUAGAAUUCCAGGUGUAGCGGUGAAAUGCGUAGAGAUCUGGAGGAAUACCGAUGGCGAAGGCAGCUCCCUGGCAUCAUACUGACACUGAGGUGCGAAAGCGUGGGUAGCAAACAGGAUUAGAUACCCUGGUAGUCCACGCCGUAAACGAUGUCUACCAGUCGUUGGGUCUUUUAAAGACUUAGUGACGCAGUUAACGCAAUAAGUAGACCGCCUGGGGAGACGGCCGCCGGGUG